ACUUCCCCCUCUCCAUCCCUCCUUGCUGGCCCUCCUCCCCUUCCCUCCCCUCCGCCCCCUUCCCCGUAGGCAGCUCGCCCGCCAGUCCGCCCGCACCGCCUCCUUCCCAACCCCUAGCGCUCCGGCUGGGUCUCUCCCCCGCCCCCCAGGCUCCCCCGGUCGCUCUCCUCCGGCGGUCGCCCGCGCUCGGUGGAUGUGGCUGGCAGCUGCCGCCCCCUCCCUCGCUCGCCGCCUGCUCUUCCUCGGCCCUCCGCCUCCUCCCCUCCUCCUUCUCGUCUUCAGCCGCUCCUCUCGCCGCCGCCUCCACAGCCUGGGCCUCGCCGCGAUGCCGGAGAAGAGGCCCUUCGAGCGGCUGCCUGCCGAUGUCUCCCCCAUCAACUGCAGCCUUUGCCUCAAGCCCGACUUGCUGGACUUCACCUUCGAGGGCAAGCUGGAGGCCGCCGCCCAGGUGAGGCAGGCGACUAAUCAGAUUGUGAUGAAUUGUGCUGAUAUUGAUAUUAUUACAGCUUCAUAUGCACCAGAAGGAGAUGAAGAAAUACAUGCUACAGGAUUUAACUAUCAGAAUGAAGAUGAAAAAGUCACCUUGUCUUUCCCUAGUACUCUGCAAACAGGUACAGGAACCUUAAAGAUAGAUUUUGUUGGAGAGCUGAAUGACAAAAUGAAAGGUUUCUAUAGAAGUAAGUAUACUACCCCUUCUGGAGAGGUGCCCUAUGCUGCUGUAACACAGUUUGAGGCUACUGAUGCCCGAAGGGCUUUUCCUUGCUGGGAUGAGCCUGCUAUCAAAGCAACUUUUGAUAUCUCAUUGGUUGUUCCUAAAGACAGAGUAGCUUUAUCAAACAUGAAUGUAAUUGACCGGAAACCAUACCCUGAUGAUGAAAAUUUAGUGGAAGUGAAGUUUGCCCGCACACCUGUUACAUCUACAUAUCUGGUGGCAUUUGUUGUGGGUGAAUAUGACUUUGUAGAAACAAGGUCAAAAGAUGGUGUGUGUGUCUGUGUUUACACUCCUGUUGGCAAAGCAGAACAAGGAAAAUUUGCAUUAGAGGUAAAUGUACUUGAAGAGGAUUGUUCCAGCAGUCCAUAACUCCAGGUUGGGGAAUUUACAUUUCUGGUCAAUUAUUAGUACAGUUAUUUAUAAUUUAAUCUGAAAGUUGUGCUACUUGGUUUAUUUUUAAUAGAAUUUAGGAAAUGCCAA
ensembl:lncRNA NPEPPSP1 NPEPPS pseudogene 1